GCCCGGAUGGUGGAAUGGUAGACACAGGGGUUUCAAAAACCCCCGCCGCGAGGCGUGCGAGUUCGACUCUCGCUCCGGGCACCA
rnacentral:tRNA from 1 species